rnacentral:rRNA from 1 species
UACGGGGGGGGCAAGCGUUGUUCGGAAUUGCUGGGCGUAAAGGGCUCGUAGGCGGCCAACUAAGUCAGACGUGAAAUCCCUCGGCUUAACCGGGGAACUGCGUCUGAUACUGGAUGGCUUGAGUUUGGGAGAGGGAUGCGGAAUUCCAGGUGUAGCGGUGAAAUGCGUAGAUAUCUGGAGGAACACCGGUGGCGAAGGCGGCAUCCUGGACCAACACUGACGCUGAGGAGCGAAAGCCAGGGGAGCAAACGGG